rnacentral:rRNA from 1 species
UACAGAGGAUGCAAGCGUUAUCCGGAAUGAUUGGGCGUAAAGCGUCUGUAGGUGGCUUUUUAAGUCCGCCGUCAAAUCCCAGGGCUCAACUCUGGACAGGCGGUGGAAACUACCAAGCUCGAGUACGGUAGGGGCAGAGGGAAUUUCCGGUGGAGCGGUGAAAUGCGUAGAGAUCGGUAGGAACACCAAUGGCGAAGGCAGCUUGCUGGCAUGUUUCUGACGCUAAGGCACGAAAGCGUGGGGAGCGAACAGG